CUUAAACAUUUCUCCAAAACGCAGUUGCCUCCCCCGCGCCUAAUUUCGUUCUGCAUCUAAAGUAAUCUUUCCCAAUUCCCUCCCUCCCCGCGCCUAACCCUUUCUGCAUCUAACUUUGUCAUUUUCUCUCAAACUCCUUCCCCGCACCAUCUAAUUGGCUUCGUGUUGAUCUUUUCCUGCUUGGGAACGUCUUAUUUUUCGUCGAAGGUCCCUGUUGGUAAUGGGGACGUCGAGGCGUCUUGUUGUUCAUUGAAGCGUCUUAUUGUUUGUCGAAAGUAAGCAGUGAUUACUGCGUUCGAGCUGAACUCUUUGCUUUUGCCUAUCUCAAGCUCAACUCUCGUGGAUCUCUGCUAUUUAUAAAGGUGUGGCUCAUGAGUCUAUUGGAGUAAAACCAGCGACCUUGGUUCCAAAAGAAAUCUUAUCCCUUCCAUUGUUUAUCCCUUCACGGAGGAGCUCCUCCUUUAACACGCCCAACCAGAACUAGGGUUUCGAUUUGAAACACCAGCCAAAGCGUGAUGCUCUGUAUUUGAGCCUCUAUGUGUUUGUUUAAAUUUCGCUUUGAAGAAUAGUUCGACUUAUCUAGUCUCAGUUGUAUAACACGUAAAAGAAUUUCUGCCGCAAUAUGAGUGUAAGGAUAUUGUUUAACAUGGCUACAAGAAGUGAUCCUCUGAGGGUACCUCAGAAGGUGUCACCUCGUGUUGUGCGCCAACUAAGGCCUACUACUGUGGACACUGAUUCUGUAUCUUCUUCAAGUCAGGCUAAUAAAUCAUCAAAGGAGAGAAGCCCCAAAGUCACUGAUCGCUGAUCACCCAGAAGCCCAGUUGUUGAGAUAACCGUCAUGGUGCUCUUCAACGUUUCACGCGUACACACUACUCCCUUCGAUGGCCAAAAGCCUGGAACCUCUGGUCUCCGCAAGAAGAUAUUUGAAGUACCAAAGGACCAUAGAAAGCCUAAGCCCUUCCAUGAUCACGUUUUUGUUUUCUCCAUAGUUGAUGGUUCCGGAAUUAUCAGAUUAUAACUAAAAUGUCAGCAGCAAAUGGUAUAAGACGUGUUUGGGUUGGUCAAAAUGGAUUGCUUUCAACUCCUACUGUGUCUGCUAUCAUACGUGAAAGAGUUGGAGCUAAUAUAUGAAUAACUCAUAAAAGUUAUAAGGCAACAUGUCUUUCCCAAGCAAGAUGAAUUCCGUGGGGGGCACUGUGGAAUCAUUUAACAGCACAGGGAACGGGAAACAAAAUUUCGAAAAUUCCAAGAUUAGAAGUGGAGCAAUAAUCCAUAACCCACAUCCUGGCUCUGUUUCCUCCGUAGGAGGAACUCUACGCUCCUUUCUCCAAGAUGGUGAUGGUGAUCAGAGUUUUGCUGGUGCUGACAUUCAGAGUGGAGAGGUGAAUAGUGAAAAGGAUGAAGAUGGUACUAAGGAUUUAUGGGCACAGUUGCAGAAAAUAGGUGUUGAAGAUGAUUCCUUGGGAGUUGUAUAUUGGUACCUUUUUAACAAUCCUACUGCUUUAAAAGGUUUUAAUGGUGUUCCAAUUCAUGAGCGCAAGAACAUGUUACCUAUCAUUGUGCCAAACUAUCAACCCAAGGGAUCUAAUCGGAAUGUUAAGAUAACAUAGCUACUUUGAAAGAAGUUCACAUGAAGAAGUGCUAUGAAUAAAACUUGAAGUAAAGUGCUACUAUAUAUGUAUGUGGGUAACCUUUGUCUCUUCUGCAUGUUGAAGCCAGGGGCUUCUUGAUUAACUUCUUUUGGAUGUAUCUUAUUAUCAUAAAAUUCACUUUUUAUAUUGAAAGUGAUAUUGAAAUAAAAGCAGAAUUUACCUUUUAA